rnacentral:rRNA from 1 species
UACGAAGGGGGCUAGCGUUGCUCGGAAUCACUGGGCGUAAAGGGUGCGUAGGCGGGUCUUUAAGUCAGGGGUGAAAUCCUGGAGCUCAACUCCAGAACUGCCUUUGAUACUGCGGGUCUCGAGUCCGGAAGAGGUGAGUGGAAUUCCUAGUGUAGAGGUGAAAUUCGUAGAUAUUAGGAAGAACACCAGUGGCGAAGGCGGCUCACUGGCCCGGUACUGACGCUGAGGCGCGAAAGCGUGGGGAGCAAACAGG